CUCGUAGGCGGUUCGUCGCGUCCGGUGUGAAAGUCCAUCGCUUAACGGUGGAUCCGCGCCGGGUACGGGCGGGCUUGAGUGCGGUAGGGGAGACUGGAAUUCCCGGUGUAACAGUGGAAUGUGUAGAUAUCGGGAAGAACACCAAUGGCGAAGGCAGGUCUCUGGGCCGUCACUGACGCUGAGGAGCGAAAGCGUGGGGAGCGAAACA
rnacentral:rRNA from 1 species